rnacentral:tRNA from 1 species
GUUUUAGUAAUUUAAUUAAAAAUUUUGGUCUUGUAAAUCAAAAAUAAGGUUUUAACCUUUUAAAACU